GGGAACACCGGACAAUUAUCUUGUUCUGAGUAGCAUUAUUUUUAAUAAAGCAAGUGUGAGUACACUUAUGAUUGGUACUCAACAAGUGGACUAAAUUAUGUGACAUUCAAGGAUAUGAUCAAGGAAAAGCUGACAUGGUUUGACUGCGAUAAGCAUUUGUAGUUGGUCAAGUUUUAAUUAAGCAAGUAUUAGCUAAGUGUAAGUGUAUACCAGCCCUUAACCAAACUAUCUGAGGUG
rnacentral:lncRNA from 1 species